rnacentral:rRNA from 1 species
GCAUAUCAAUAAGCGGAAGGAAAAAGAAACCAACAGGGAUUGCCCCAGUAACGGCGAAGUGAAGCGGCAAGAAGCUCAAAUUUGAAAGCUGGCUCCUUCGGGGUCCGCAUUGUAAUUUGCAGAGGAUGCUUCGGGAGCGGUCCCCAUCUAAGUGCCCUGGAACGGGACGUCAUAGAGGGUGAGAAUCCCGUAUGGGAUGGGGUGUCCGCGCCCGUGUGAAGCUCCUUCGACGAGUCGAGUUGUUUGGGAAUGCAGCUCUAAAUGGGUGGUAAAUUUCAUCUAAAGCUAAAUAUUGGCCGGAGACCGAUAGCGCACAAGUAGAGUGAUCGAAAGAUGAAAAGCACUUUGAAAAGAGAGUUAAAAAGCACGUGAAAUUGUUGAAAGGGAAGCGCUUGCGACCAGACUCGCUCGCGGGGUUCAGCCGGCAUUCGUGCCGGUGUACUUCCCCGCGGGCGGGCCAGCGUCGGUUUGGGCGGUCGGUCAAAGGCCCUCGGAAGGUAACGCCCCCUCGGGGGCGUCUUAUAGCCGAGGGUGCAAUGCGACCUGCCUGGACCGAGGAACGCGCUUCGGCUCGGACGCUGGCAUAAUGGUCGUAAGCGACCCGUCUUGAAACACGGACCAAGGAGUCUAACAUCUACGCGAGUGUUCGGGUGUCAAACCCGUGCGCGCAGUGAAAGCGAACGGAGGUGGGAACCCUUUUGGGUGCACCAUCGACCGAUCCUGAAGUCUUCGGAUGGAUUUGAGUAAGAGCGUAGCUGUUGGGACCCGAAAGAUGGUGAACUAUGCCUGAAAUAGGGGCGAAGCCAGAGGGAAACUCUGGUGGAGGCUCGUAGCGGUUUCUGACGUGCAAAUCGAUCGUCGAAAUUUGGGUAAUAGGGCGAAAGACUAAUCGAACCAUYUAGGUAGCUGGGUUCUGCGGAG